ACUGAAAAAGCUAAACCUGCUGUGAAGCAGGGACGGAAAGCUACGGGUCUUGAAGAAAGACGGCCGGGUUGCCUGUA
rnacentral:ncRNA from 1 species